CACACAAAAUCCAUAUACUUUAUUGCAUACAAAUUUAAAAAGAGUCAGAUAGGAUAUAGGAGGGGGACUCAAGAUGAAAUGCAGAAUUAAUCUAAAUGCAUUACACAUGAGUGAGCACAUCGAAGGGUUGGGUAAGAAAGAAGCUGACCUAAGCAGCUUUGGAAAACAAUGUUUUGACUGGAUAGGGUAGGGCUAAAAAAAAUUUCCAAAACUGCUGUUUAGUUGGUAAAUUAAUUUUUCAUAAGGGCCUUAGUGAGCAACUUUGAAACUACUUUGAGAUGCAUACUGGGUUUGAAAAGAAGUACAUCUAUUGUAGACAAAGCAAGACAAGUUUCUCACAGGUAGAGAAAAGUUAUAAAUAAGCAAAGGGGAAAUGCUAGAAUGAACCCUAAGAGGACAGAUUAAGUAGGAGGCAUCAGUAUGAAACCAUGUUUUACUUUGUUUCUAAUUAUAUAUACAGUUAGAUAGGUACAGAAAUAAAUAUAGAUGUAUGUUUAAAUGGAUUGGUAUACAUACAUACAUACAUUUCCUAUUCUGUUCACUGAAAUGGCCUAGUAGCAGUGACAUCCUAAUUAUAAGGAAUGGAGUCAGUUGGUUUCUUAAUAUUAUCAUCCAAUAAAAAGAACCAGAGUUCCUUGGAGAAGGAGUGGAUUCUACCUAUGGUUGGGGCAAGCAAUAAAAAGGAAUGAACUGCUGAUUCACACAACAAUGUCAGUGGACCUGACACUGGGUCCUGACAUUGGUUGGGGCAAGAGAUAUAUAAGAUGCUCCUGGAGCAUCUUGUGAUGCCAAAGCUUAUAAACAAACAUACGGAAAACAAAUAAAUAAAUAAACAUGUCAAAGAGACACCGACAUUUUUAAAACAUAUAUACAUACAAUCAAAUAUUAUUCAGCCUUGAAAAAAUUCUGACAGAUGCUACAACAUGGAUGAAACUUGAAGCCAGACACAAAAGGAUAAAUUCUGUAUUUGAGGCACCUAGAGUAGUUAAAUUCAUAGAGAAACCACAACGAUGGUUUCCAGAGGCUGGGAGGAGGGCAAAAAUGAGAGUUAUUGGAUUUUUUCUUUGUUUUGUUUGUUUGUUUGUUGUUUGUAUGUGCCCAUGGCCUGUAGAGAAGUUCCAGGGCCAGGGAGCAAACCCAUGCCACAACUACCACAGCAGUGACACUGUCAGGUCCUUAACCUGCUGAGCCACCAAGGACCUCUGGGACUUAUUGUUUAAUGUGUUCAUAGUUUCUGUUUGGGAAGGUAAAAUAGUUCUAGAGAUGGAUUGUGGUGAUCAUGGCACAGCAGUGCGAAUGUACUUAAUGCUACCGAACUGUACAAUUUAUUUAUUUAUUUAUUUAUUUAUUUAUUUAUUUAUUUACUUAUUUAGGUCUGCACCUAUGGCAUAUGGAAGUUCUGAGGCUAGGGAUUGAAUUGGAGCUACAGCCAGUCACAGAAACGCCAGAUCCAAGCCAUAUCUGCAACUUAUGCUGCAGCUCAGGGCAAUGCCACAUCCUUAACUCACUGAGUGAGGCCAGGGAUCAAAUCUACAUCCUUGUGGAUACUAGUUGGGCACAUUUCCACUGAGCCACAAGAGGAAAUCCUGAGCUGUGUAAUUUAUUUUAAUUAAUUUAUUUAUUUUGGUUUUUUGAGGGUCACGCCCAUGUUAUAUGGAAGUUCCCAGGCUAGGGGUCCCAUUGGAACUGCAGCUGCUGGCCUACACCAUAGCCCAUAUGCUACCUUCUAUUAUAAUCGAUCUAUUUAUAGCCAGGUCUUCUUGAUGGAAGAGACAGGAUUUUACACUUUCUUAUAUCUCCAGAGUUUAACUUUCUGUUCCAUUACAGUAGAUUUAUUAUCAUUUAAGAUGCCUAUAAUUAGAAGACCAAAAACAACAUAUGAUAUGGAACUGGAUUGAGAGAGCACCUAACUCCUAGGCCACCAGGGAUGGCCUGGAUUGAGGAUGGACAAGAAAACAUCUUAGAAAAUACAUGAAGGAAAUUGUAUUAAAACACCUAUUGUUAAUUUUUAAAAUUCUUAUCAAAUCAUACAUAGGAUACUUUAGUAACCUAAUGAAGAAUUAUCUAUCUCAAAGCAACAGCCAACCUCAUACACAGUGGUAAAGCAAGAGAGGCAUUCAGAGUAAAGAACGUAAUAAGAGAAGGGGACAAAUAUUGGUUAUUACGAAUAUUUAUAAUUGUUUUAUCAUGUAAUAAUAUUUUAAAAAAUAGGUAUAAGUAUCGGAAAGGAGACCACAGCACUGUUAUUUGUAGGUCGAUAUGAUCAUCCAUCUCUGGAAAACUCAAGAGAAUUAAGCAAAAAGAUAUCAGAAUAAAAUGUUUCUGUAAGUUAACCUUCUUUCCUCCUAUUUACAUUUUAAGUCAUCUUUUAAAUCCAGUAUAAGUCCCACUUUCUCCAUGAAGCCCGUGCCAAGGAAAGAAAAGGGAUGGAAGGAGGAGCUAAAAGGAACUAACGUCAUUAAUAUCGUCACCACUGAGUUUAUCCAUUUACUAUCAUCCGUUUAUUCAACAAAUAUUUAUCUCCUCUCCCUUUCUUCCUUUCGCGCCCACCUGAGGUAAUCACUUCCAAGAGCUUAUGUUUAUUCUUCGACACCUUUCUCUAUGCUCACUCACGCAUAUUGCAACAGUCAGGUUCUGUGAUACCGCUACAAUGGCAUGUCCAGGUUGCUGGCUGCAUCUAGUAUCUGUUCUCUCUUCCUUUUAUAGUAAUAAAGUUUUUAUCUGUGCACAUGGCUACUAGUUAAAGACUACCUCUCUGGGCUUUCCUAGCAGCUGGAUGUGGUUAUGCAACUGAGUUCUGCCACUGGAAUCGAAAUAGAAGUUAAUAUGCACAACCUUUGGUGAUAUUCUUAAAAGGAAGGAACAUGCCUUCCCCUUCUCCUUUUCUCUUUCCCAAUGACUGGAGUGUGAACACAAUAGGAAGAGCUGGAGCUGCCAUGCUGGCCCUUGAGAGGGAAGCUUUAUGUUGAAAACAACAGAACAAUAAGCUCAAAAGAGCAGAAAUCCCUGGUUCUCAACACCAUUGAGAGACUUAUUUCCCUAAAUUUUAUAUGAGGGAGAAACAUACACUUUUAUCUUUUUUUUUUUUUUGUCUUUUUGCCAUUUCUUGGGCUCCCACGUCAUAUGGAGUUUCCCAGGGUAGGGGUCUAAUCGGAGCUGUAGUCACCGGCCUACACCAGAGCCACAGCAGUGCGGGAUCCGAGCCGAGUCUGCGACCUACGCCACAGCUCACGGCAACGCCGGAUCCUUAACCCACUGAGCAAG
rnacentral:lncRNA from 1 species